rnacentral:rRNA from 1 species
GACGAACGCUGGCGGCGUGCUUAACACAUGCAAGUCGAACGGAAAGGCCCCCUUGUGGGGUACUCGAGGGGCGAACGGGUGAGUAACACGUGAGUAACCUACCCUUGACUUUGGGAUAACUUCAGGAAACUGGGGCUAAUACCGGAUAGGAGCUCCUGCUGCAUGGUGGGGGUUGGAAAGUUUCGGCGGUUGGGGAUGGACUCGCGGCUUAUCAGCUUGUUGGUGGGGUAGUGGCUCACCAAGGGGUUGACGGGUAGCCGGCCUGAGAGGGUGACCGGCCACAUUGGGACUGAGGGACGGCCCAGACUCCUACGGGAGGCAGCAGUGGGGAGUAUUGCACAGUGGGCGGAAGCCUGAUGCAGCAACGCCGCGUGCGGGAUGACGGCCUUCGGGUUGUAAACCGCUUUCGCCUGUGACGAAGCGUGAGUGACGGUAAUGAGUAAAGAAGCACCGGCUAACUACGUG